ACUCCUACGGGAGGCAGCAGUAAGGAAUAUUGGACAAUGGGCGAAAGCCUGAUCCAGCCAUCCCGCGUGCAGGAUGACGGCCCUAUGGGUUGUAAACUGCUUUUAUGAGAGAAGAAACGCCUUAAUUUAUUUAGGGUCUGACGGUAUCUCACGAAUAAGCACCGGCUAACUCCGUGCCAGCAGCCGCGGUAA
rnacentral:rRNA from 1 species